rnacentral:tRNA from 1 species
CUUUCUGUGGCUCAGUUGAUAGAGCGUGGUGUGUGCAACGCCAGGGUUGUGGGUUCGAUUCCCACAGGAGGGG